rnacentral:rRNA from 1 species
AUUGAACGCUGGCGGCAUGCCUUACACAUGCAAGUCGAACGGCUGCACGGGAGCUUGCUCCUGGUGGCGAGUGGCGAACGGGUGAGUAAUACAUCGGAACGUACCCUGAAGUGGGGGAUAACGUAGCGAAAGUUACGCUAAUACCGCAUAUUCUGUGAGCAGGAAAGAGGGGGAUCGCAAGACCUCUUGCUUUAGGAGCGGCCGAUGUCGGAUUAGCUAGUUGGUGAGGUAAAGGCUCACCAAGGCGACGAUCCGUAGCGGGUCUGAGAGGAUGAUCCGCCACACUGGGACUGAGACACGGCCCAGACUCCUACGGGAGGCAGCAGUGGGGAAUUUUGGGACAAUGGGCGCAAGCCUGAUCCAGCCAUGCCGCGUGAGUGAAGAAGGCC